CCCUUAGAUGUUCUGGGCGGCCCGCGCACUACAUUGGCACUCUCAAUAAGUUCCUAGAUCUAAAACUUUGGGGUAUUCUAUUAAGUGGUGUCGUGACUGGGAUUAACCCUUGCAAUUAUUGGUUACGAACGAGGAAUUCCUUGUAAUCGCGGUUUAUCAGCCCGCGUUGAAUGCGUCCCUGCCCUUUGUACACACCGCCCGUCGCUCCUACCGAUGAAUCGUCCGGUGAAGUUCAUGGAGUGGUGGUUGUUCCAGCUGCUGUCGAAGUGAAAUGGACCUCUCGAUUUAGAGGAAGGAGAAGUCGUAACA
rnacentral:rRNA from 1 species